rnacentral:rRNA from 1 species
UUAAGCGACUAAGCGUACACGGUGGAUGCCCUGGCAGUCAGAGGCGAUGAAGGACGUGCUAAUCUGCGAAAAGCGUCGGUAAGGUGAUAUGAACCGUUACAGCCGGCGAUGUCCGAAUGGGGAAACCCAGUGUGAUUCGUCACACUAUCGUUAACUGAAUACAUAGGUUAACGAGGCGAACCGGGGGAACUGAAACAUCUAAGUACCCCGAGGAAAAGAAAUCAACCGAGAUUCCCCCAGUAGCGGCGAGCGAACGGGGAGCAGCCCAGAGUCUGAAUCAGCUUGUGUGUUAGUGGAACGGUCUGGAAAGUCCGACGGUACAGGGUGAUAGUCCCGUACACCAAAAUGCACAGGCUGUGAACUCGAAGAGUAGGGCGGGACACGUGGUAUCCUGUCUGAAUAUGGGGGGACCAUCCUCCAAGGCUAAAUACUCCUGACUGACCGAUAGUGAACCAGUACCGUGAGGGAAAGGCGAAAAGAACCCCGGCGAGGGGAGUGAAAAAGAACCUGAAACCGUGUACGUACAAGCAGUGGGAGCACCUUCGGGUGUGACUGCGUACCUUUUGUAUAAUGGGUCAGCGACUUAUAUUCUGUAGCAAGGUUAACCGUAUAGGGGAGCCGCAGGGAAACCGAGUCUUAACUGGGCGUUAAGUUGCAGGGUAUAGACCCGAAACCCGGUGAUCUAGCCAUGGGCAGGUUGAAGGUUGGGUAACACUAACUGGAGGACCGAACCGACUAAUGUUGAAAAAUUAGCGGAUGACUUGUGGCUGGGGGUGAAAGGCCAAUCAAACCGGGAGAUAGCUGGUUCUCCCCGAAAGCUAUUUAGGUAGCGCCUCGUGAACUCAUCUUCGGGGGUAGAGCACUGUUUCGGCUAGGGGGUCAUCCCGACUUACCAACCCGAUGCAAACUACGAAUACCGAAGAAUGUUAUCACGGGAGACACACGGCGGGUGCUAACGUCCGUCGUGAAGAGGGAAACAACCCAGACCGCCAGCUAAGGUCCCAAAGUCAUGGUUAAGUGGGAAACGAUGUGGGAAGGCACAGACAGCCAGGAUGUUGGCUUAGAAGCAGCCAUCAUUUAAAGAAAGCGUAAUAGCUCACUGGUCGAGUCGGCCUGCGCGGAAGAUGUAACGGGGCUAAACCAUGCACCGAAGCUGCGGCAGCGACACUAUGUGUUGUUGGGUAGGGGAGCGUUCUGUAAGCCUGCGAAGGUGACCUGUGAGGGUUGCUGGAGGUAUCAGAAGUGCGAAUGCUGACAUAAGUAACGAUAAAGCGGGUGAAAAGCCCGCUCGCCGGAAGACCAAGGGUUCCUGUCCAACGUUAAUCGGGGCAGGGUGAGUCGACCCCUAAGGCGAGGCCGAAAGGCGUAGUCGAUGGGAAACAGGUUAAUAUUCCUGUACUUGGUGUUACUGCGAAGGGGGGACGGAGAAGGCUAUGUUAGCCGGGCGACGGUUGUCCCGGUUUAAGCAUGUAGGCUGAUUAUCCAGGCAAAUCCGGAUAAUCAAGGCUGAGGUGUGAUGACGAGGCACUACGGUGCUGAAGUAACAAAUGCCCUGCUUCCAGGAAAAGCCUCUAAGCAUCAGGUAACAUCAAAUCGUACCCCAAACCGACACAGGUGGUCAGGUAGAGAAUACCAAGGCGCUUGAGAGAACUCGGGUGAAGGAACUAGGCAAAAUGGUGCCGUAACUUCGGGAGAAGGCACGCUGGUGUGUAGGUGAAGUCCCUGCGGAUGGAGCUGAGACCAGUCGAAGAUACCAGCUGGCUGCAACUGUUUAUUAAAAACACAGCACUGUGCAAACACGAAAGUGGACGUAUACGGUGUGACGCCUGCCCGGUGCCGGAAGGUUAAUUGAUGGGGUUAUCCGUAAGGAGAAGCUCUUGAUCGAAGCCCCGGUAAACGGCGGCCGUAACUAUAACGGUCCUAAGGUAGCGAAAUUCCUUGUCGGGUAAGUUCCGACCUGCACGAAUGGCGUAAUGAUGGCCAGGCUGUCUCCACCCGAGACUCAGUGAAAUUGAACUCGCUGUGAAGAUGCAGUGUACCCGCGGCAAGACGGAAAGACCCCGUGAACCUUUACUAUAGCUUGACACUGAACAUUGAGCCUUGAUGUGUAGGAUAGGUGGGAGGCUUUGAAGCGUGGACGCCAGUCUGCGUGGAGCCAACCUUGAAAUACCACCCUUUAAUGUUUGAUGUUCUAACGUUGGCCCCUGACCGGGGUUGCGGACAGUGUCUGGUGGGUAGUUUGACUGGGGCGGUCUCCUCCCAAAGCGUAACGGAGGAGCACGAAGGUUAGCUAAUCCUGGUCGGACAUCAGGAGGUUAGUGCAAUGGCAUAAGCUAGCUUGACUGCGAGCGUGACGGCGCGAGCAGGUGCGAAAGCAGGUCAUAGUGAUCCGGUGGUUCUGAAUGGAAGGGCCAUCGCUCAACGGAUAAAAGGUACUCCGGGGAUAACAGGCUGAUACCGCCCAAGAGUUCAUAUCGACGGCGGUGUUUGGCACCUCGAUGUCGGCUCAUCACAUCCUGGGGCUGAAGUAGGUCCCAAGGGUAUGGCUGUUCGCCAUUUAAAGUGGUACGCGAGCUGGGUUUAGAACGUCGUGAGACAGUUCGGUCCCUAUCUGCCGUGGGCGCUGGAGAAUUGAGGGGGGCUGCUCCUAGUACGAGAGGACCGGAGUGGACGCAUCACUGGUGUUCGGGUUGUCAUGCCAAUGGCACUGCCCGGUAGCUAAAUGCGGAAGAGAUAAGUGCUGAAAGCAUCUAAGCACGAAACUUGCCCCGAGAUGAGUUCUCCCUGAGACUUUAAGUCUCCUGAAGGAACGUUGAAGACGACGACGUUGAUAGGCCGGGUGUGUAAGCGCAGCGAUGCGUUGAGCUAACCGGUACUAAUGAACCGUGAGGCUUAACCUU